AUCUGAUUUAUAAAAAUAAUUCAAAGUACUAGGGUAAAUGGAAGGGUGGUAUAUUAAUUCCUAUAAAAAUAAUUAAAGAAGAAAAGUGGCUUAGAACAGCCUUGCCCUGUGUUUCCAUGUAUUUCCAGAUUCAAUCCUAGG